GGUAGAUCUUGCUAUAACCAUUUGUUUAGAGGAUUCAAUGAUAUAGCUAUAAUUCCCAAUGUGAAAAUAGUUCAUUAGUAGACUUUAAGUCUUUUAUAUCAGAUAUCAAUUAGCAUCACUAUAUUCUUCAAUAACUGUUAGAUAUCUAGAAUAGUGCAAUUCAUAUGUACGAGUAUAUCUUAAGUACUUCGAUUAUCUUAUUAUUCUAGUCACUUUGGCAAAACUCCCCACACUCGUAAGUAGAGAUGUCAAACGGGCCGAGCGGCUCGUCGGCUCGACCGCUCAGCUCGUUAAAACCCGGCUCGCACGAGCUCGUCCCCGAGCAACGAGCCGAGCUCGAGAUCAACUCGUUUUUCACUAGCCACGAGACCGAGCCGAGCACAUGGCUUAAAAGGCCGGCUCGACCCAUUGCCAUCACUACUCGUGAGUAUUCAAAGGAAAACUUCAUUUCUUUCCAUAAUUCAUAAAGGCUCUUUUACUUUUUCUUUUUCUUACGAGACAGCUUAUUUAAAAGGUAAUUAUCGAUAUAACUACGCCACACAUAUUAUGAGGUAACCUAAAACUCGCUAACAUUGCAUUUAUUAUUCUGGUGUGAUUUCAUAUAUGAUUCCAUGUUGUGCACACACACACACACACACACAAAAACUGCAUACUCACCAAGUCACUUCUCUG
rnacentral:lncRNA from 1 species